AUGGGGAGAUUCAUCGGCAACGGUGCUGGCUCCCGUUGGUGCGCGAUGCUCCGGAUGAAUCCUCGUGGUUCAUCGGCGAGGGCACACCACCUUCGGCUUGAACGUUCCGGCAUCGUAGUCGUGCACUUCUCCCCUAGUAGAACGUCGCGACCCGUUGUGUGUCGGUCUACGGCCCGAGAGGGCGCCUGUCGCGUCGCUUCGCGCGCACGCGGCAGACCCUCGGUCGCCUGGCCGGCUGCACGACGGUACUCGCACGGUAUCGGGCCGCAACCAAUCCAUUUUUUCGAAUGUGUGUGCGUCAGGCCCGCCGCAAGCUCGGUCAGUUCUUACCCGGAGGUACGGACCUGGUGCCGUCCCCGGGCCUGGCCAGCUGUUAGCAGGCGGUGUCCUUGGACUGGCCAAGACUCGAAUUACCGGUCGGCGACGCUUUUGCUUUGGGUACUCUCAGGACCCGUCUUGAAACACGGACCAAGGAGUCUAACAUGUGCGCGAGUCAUUGGGAUGCAAAAACCUAAAGGCGAAAUGAAAGUGAAGAUCGGACUUUGUGCCGAUCGAGGGAGGAUGGGCCGCGUUACUAUGCGGCCCCGCACUCCCGGGGCGUCUCGUUCUCAUUGCGAGAAGAGGCGC
rnacentral:rRNA from 1 species